rnacentral:hammerhead_ribozyme from 1 species
AUCCGGCUGACGAGUCCCAAAUAGGACGAAACUUCCCUCCCAGAU